rnacentral:ncRNA from 1 species
UUCGGGUCUGUGGUUGCAAGUCGAUGCCAGUCGCAGGCGAAACGAUCCACAUAAGCGGGCCAAAGCGCCCGUGAGCAUGGUGCGGCUUAGAAGUAAGUCCGGCCGGCGGGCAACCGUCGAGAGGGGCAGUAGUGGGGAGCAAAGCUUAGGAGCGAACCCUCCUGCCGGCGAGUGUGGGGGCAAAGACCAGGUCAGCCGAA